UAGUGACUUCACCAGGCAAAGCGCAAUAUUGAAAGAAAAACGGAAUAGGAUUACCUCCAACCACAUGCGUGAUGCAAUUGUGUCAUCCAGGCCCUAUCAGGAAGCUCUGCUCGAUUUAUUCUAGCUGUUAUUAUCUUAAGAACUGAGCUUUUCGUGCUUUAUAUCGGCUAAAGAAAGCCCCGAGGAACAAGUGUGUCGAUGGGAGAACCAGCAGCAACGAGGUGGACAAUGACAUCUAAUCUGUGAUUCACCGUGUUCUUCUGUGAGCGGGGCAGUGAGGUGGACAGCAGGCCUGUGCCAGUGAAGGAUUAAACACUGUCAUCACCCUCUCCUCCCCCCGGUGCUCAACACUCUUCCAUCACCCACGACAGCAGGUCCCAGUCCUCCCAAACUAAGGCCAAACACAUGCCAAACUGCAGAGGGACAGACAGAUAUUCUUUGGAGAACAGACCAAACAACGACAUCAAGACAGCU